rnacentral:rRNA from 1 species
ACUCCUACGGGAGGCAGCAGUGGGGAAUAUUGCACAAUGGGCGCAAGCCUGAUGCAGCCAUGCCGCGUGUGUGAAGAAGGCCUUCGGGUUGUAAAGCACUUUCAGUCGUGAGGAAGGUAGUGUAGUUAAUAGCUGCAUUAUUUGACGUUAGCGACAGAAGAAGCACCGGCUAACUCCGUGCCAGCAGCCGCGGUAAUACGGAGGGUGCGAGCGUUAAUCGGAAUUACUGGGCGUAAAGCGCGCGUAGGUGGUUAGUUAAGUUGGAUGUGAAAUCCCCGGGCUCAACCUGGGAACUGCAUUCAAAACUGACUGACUAGAGUAUGGUAGAGGGUGGUGGAAUUUCCUGUGUAGCGGUGAAAUGCGUAGAUAUAGGAAGGACACCAGUGGCGAAGGCGACCACCUGGACUGAUACUGACACUCAGAUGCGAAAGCGUGGGGAGCAAACAGGAUUAGAUACCCUGGUAGGAUAGCG